rnacentral:rRNA from 1 species
AUGGCUCCUCCAACGCGCACGACUCCGAAUCCUGAUCCGCCACCACCUCCACCUCGUCCAGAGGCAUGGCAAGCUGUGAUGGCCGCAACCAAUGCAAACACACAGUUGAUCAUGCAAAUUUUUCAAGAGAGCAACCAAGGGAAUCAAGGCAGCAAUCAGAGUCACUUUGCUACACUCAACCAGUUCCUUGCUAACGGGCCAAACACUUUCAGCAAUUGUGUUGAGGCAACCGAUGCUGACGAUUGGCUAGUGGAUCUGUGCAAGCAUUUUGAGUGCAGUAAUAUCAUGGCUGAGGACUUUGUUAAGUUCGCUUCCUUCCAACUCAAAGAUCAAGCUGCAGAAUGGUUCCAGCAGUACAAGGACUCCAGAGGUGGACGUGUUAUCACUUGGGAUGAUUUCCGUCGAGAUUUCCGAGCUCAUCAUAUUCCCCAGAGCGUGGUUGAAAGCAAGCGUGAGGAAUUCCGCAAUCUGAAGCAAGGCUCUUUGUCUGUCUAUGACUACAACAAGUUGUUUCAGAAGCUCGCCCGCUUUGCCAAGCAGGACGUGCCUGAUGAGAAGAGCAUGAUAUAUCAGUUCAGGGGUGGUCUCAGAGAAAAUAUUCAGCUAGCUCUUGUUCUCUUUGAGCCCUUGAGGUAUGAUGAGUUCUACAACAUGGCACUGAAGCAAGAGGCUGCUCAGUUGAGGUGUGAUGCUUCCAAGAAGCGAGUCAGAGAUGUUACUCCUUCUUCCUCUACUCAAGUGGCCAAGCAGCAGAAGUAUUGGCUUCCUCCUCCUCCGUUCCAUCAGCCGUAUCAGCAGAAGAGCAAAGGUGGCAGUGGUUCUUCCCACCCACCCAACCCUGUCUUUCAGAACAAGACUUCGUCUCAAGCUCCAAGAUCGAGUGCUCUGUACCACUGUCCGCUUUCAGAGGUCACGUGCAACAUGUGCCAACAGAAGGGUCACUAUGCCAACAAGUGUUUCAACCAGAGGCGUCUUCCUCCUCCUCCUCCUAUCAGAUCGGCAAGUACAGCUGUGGUCAAGCAUAACCCCAAGUCUGCCAAGGUCAAUUUGAUGAAUGCAGCUCAGGCAGAGGACUCAUCAGAUGUCAUCAUGGGUAACCUUCCUGUUAAUGAUAUUCCUGCAAAAGUUCUUUUUGACACGGGUGCAUCGCAUUGUUUCAUCUCGAGGCCAUUUGUUUCUAAGCAUGAGUUGCCUUUGCAAGAUUUGCCUAGACAGUUAUCUGUUGUUUCUCUAGGUAAAUUCAUGAAUGCAAGCGCUAUU